rnacentral:rRNA from 1 species
AUGUCAGACUCCUACGGGAGGCAGCAGUGGGGAAUCUUCCGCAAUGGGCGAAAGCCUGACGGAGCAACGCCGCGUGAUCGAAUGAAGGCCUUCGGGUUGUAAAGAUCUGUUGACAGGGACGAAUAAGCAAUGCGAAUAGUUUUGUGUAUGACAGUACCUGUUUAGAAAGCUCCGGCUAACUACGUGCCAGCAGCCGCGGUAAUACGUAGGGAGCAAGCGUUGUCCGGAAUUACUGGGCGUAAAGGGCGCGUAGGUGGGCGCUUAAGUUAGGUGUGAAAACUCCGGGCUCAACCUGGAGACUGCACUUGAAACUGGGUGUCUUGAGGGCAGGAGAGGAAAGUGGAAUUCCUAGUGUAGCGGUGAAAUGCGUAGAUAUACGGAGGAACACCAGUGGCGAAGGUGGAUUGCUGGACAGUAACUGACGCUGAGGCGCGAAAGCGUGGGGAGCAAACAGGAUUAGAUACCCGAGUA